ACUAUAUAGGUGUUUCUGCGCAACGCACGGGCAUUCGCCUAGUGCAGUAAUAAUCUUCCCAGAAAACCUGAAAGUUUGACUAUUUUAGUUUUGUGAUCAGAAACAAUACCAAAGAAACCAAAUGGAUUUUGGUACUUUAUUUAUCUUCAUAAUUAAUUGUCCUGCCAUAAAAUUAAGUUCUUUACUUUUUGAGCUUAUAAUGGGGGAUGCAUAGGUGCUAAACCAAAAUCGAUUAAGCUUCACAGAAAAAAAGUUAAGAGUUGGGACUUAAAACUUUUUUACAUUUUUAAAUAUAAAAAAAUCAAUAUUAAAUUAGUUAAAUCUUAAUUAAAAAAUAUAAAAGUGUAUAUAACCUUGUAAAAUUGAGCCAACCAUUAGUGCUUGGGGAGCUCAAAAACACAUUUUUGUGCCCAAGCAACUCCCUACUGUAUGAAUUGAUAAGUAUCUAACCUCCUUGAUUCACAUUUUUAUCAAUACACUAACUUGAGAAGUAGAAGAAAGGAACUCAUGUUGUUUGAGAUAAAGUAAAAAAAGGUGUUACUGAUCAUCUGGUAAGUAAAGAGGGAAAGAAGAGAAAAGUGGAAGUAGGGUUUGAAAGAGAGGGAUGCAGGUUUAAGGGUCAUCCCACAUCGGCUGCUGGAAUGAGAGAGAAGGUGUGAGAGUCGUUACUUAAAGCAAGCAGCUGAGAGAAGGAAAGGCACGCAGCCAUGUGGUAAGCACAAAGCGAACUAUUCUUUCGCCUUUUACUAAAGAAUACCGUGUGCUUGCCAUACACAGUGGCAUAAGCCUAUUUUUGGAGAGUCCCUUCCUUCAUUGGUGGGCUCCAACCAAUUUUCAGUGUUCAAAUCUUCAAUAGUUCCUGUGUAACAAUCAUAAGUCAGGAGUAUAAAAGUUUUGCAACUAACUAAAAAGCCUAUAAAGUUGUUGAAAACACAAGAAAUGAAUCAAUAUAGAAAAAACCUGUACUUAGGCAGUAGAGUUCAAGAUCAACAACAAAUUUUCAUCUCUUUUAUUACUUUAUUAAUCUUUGAUAAUAUUGAUUUUUCUGCCAUAAAAUUUCUUGACUUUUUGAGCUUCUAAUUUGGUGAUACAUAGCUAAACGGUUAAAACCCAAAUCAAGAGGGUGUUUGGGAAAACUUUUUAAAUGACUUUUGUCUUUUAACUUUUCUAAAAAGAUAUAAAGAUGUUUGGAUGAUGCAAAAGUUCUUUUCAAAAUAACUUUUUGUAAAGAAGAAAAAUGGUGAGUUUCAAAAGUCAAGAAAGUGUGAUUUUUUGUAACUUUUGGACUUUUAAAGCUAAAUCACACUCAAAAGUCAAAAAAUACUACCCAAACACUUUUUAAAACCCACUUUUGGCUUUUGUUUCCUCAAAAGAACUUUUAUAGAAAGAACUUUUACAAAAAGAUCUUUUAGGCUUAAAAAGUUUUCCCAAACACCCCCCAAGUAAGCUUCUUUUGCCAAACCAAAAAUUGACCUGGUCAAUAGUUUCUUAGGUAAACCAAACAUCGCCUGAAUAAAAUUCAUACAAAAAAGUUAAGAGUUAGGACUUAUACAUUCUUUAUACGUUUAAGUAUACUAGUGUAUAUAAACCUUGUUUAUAUUUCUAAUAUAAUUGUAUAUAAGUUAGUAGAACUUAGGAAAACAUUAGUGUUUCCAGACCUCAAAACUCAUUUUGUGCCCAAGCAACUCACUAAUGUAUCAACUGAUAAUUAUCAAACCUCCUUGAUUUAAUUUACGAUAUGAAAAUGUACAAUUUACCAAUACAUUAAUACUUACCAAGUACAAGAAAGGAACUCAUGUUGGUUGAAAUAAACGUCAAAAAGAUCACGAAUCAUCUUGUUUUGAAUAGUAUGAAAUGCUGAAAUCUGAAAACCUGUUUGAAAACCAUUCUAAUCCUUGAUAAGUGAGCUGAAUAAAAGGACUUAGUUUAAGUCAUUAUCCAUUCUCACAAUACCUUUGUCCAAAAGUAAAACGAACUUUCACCUAUUUAUCCAUUUCAUUUACCAAAAUAUGAAAUUCUAACUUCCUAAGAUUGCUGUUUUUCUUCACGAAAAUGUUCUUUUUUUGGUCUACUAAAAAUAAUCUUUCACGAAAUAUCUAAUUCCAGUUAUAAUAUCUAGUAAUUUCUAUCAAAACCCAUAUCCAUGAACAGUGAACACCUCAUAAAAAACAGAUCAAAAACCAAAUCGAAGUAAGUGAAGGGGAAAAAGAAGAGAAAUGUGGGAGAAGAGUUUGAAACAUUACAGAGGGAUGCAAGUAUGGGGCUCAUCCCACAUCGGCUACUUGAAUGAAACAGAAGGUAUCAAACUCAUUACAUAAACCAAGCAGCUGGGAUGUGAGAAGGCACGCAGCUACGCAGUGAACACAAAGCGAACUAUUCUUUCGCCUUUUACUAAAGAAUACCGUGUGUUCGCUGCAUUAAGUGGCAUACGCCUAUUUUUGGAGAGUCCCUUUCAAUUAGGGCUCCAACCAAUUUCAGAGUUCAACUUUCCAAUUGUCCACAUUGAAAAAGCCUAAUUGUACUCAACCCCUAGAAGUUGAGUAUAUAAACGAGUUUGACAUAGCAUCAGGAAAACUAACCUGGUUUAAGUAUGAGAUUGAGAUUUGUCUAAAUCUAAGAAAUUGGUGUUUGUUUGAUGAAAAGUCAACUUCUCCACAUGCGCCUGACCCGAGAAUAUUAACUGAAGUUGCGUGUUUUAGAUCGAUUUUUAUACAUAAUCAUCGUCUUCUUUUCUCUCGGUAUGUUGGGGUUUUCAAUGUACAUUUAGAUAUUUUUUUUACUUUUGUUUUCUUCCUGUUGGAGAUAUUGUCUUCGUCAUAUUAAAACUCAAUGUUUAGAUUAGGGCUCUUGUAUUCGACUGUAAAUCAAUAAAAGUGAAAGAGUUUUAGUUUUUCUACAAUUUGCUUGAAACAUGUAGUCAAUUAUAUGAUAUAAGUUGAAAGAAUUCAUGACAGAAAAUAUUAAACUUACUACAAUUAUUUACAAGAACCAUCCCUUAAAGAGAUUAAC
rnacentral:lncRNA from 1 species